rnacentral:lncRNA from 1 species
GUGCUGCCAGGCUUGGGACACUGUUCAGGGCAGUGGGCUUUCCUCUGGCCAUCCAAGAGCCAAGGCCUGAAAUUAGGGACCCUAAGAGCCUACUUGGUGCUCUACCCUACUGUGGCCAAACUGGUAUCUAAGCGGUAAGACAAAGUCUUCUUUACUCUUCUGUUUCUCAAGCAGGAGUCAUUCCUGAAAGCCAUCACAGCUGGGAAUGUGCUGGGUCACACCUGAAGCCAGCGUCUGAGUCUCACCAAUGGCACAUGGGUGUUACUCCUCAGAGGUGGCCUCCCUCUGGGCCCAUCAUGCUGAGCCUGGGUUUAGCUGCAACUUCUGGAUCACUGAGAACUCUCAGUCCCACUGCAAAGAUAUACAUGGAAUUUACAUGAGACAUGGAUGACAUAAAGAAUAAGAGAAAGACAAGAGAGAAGAAUAGCCAACCAACAGUUCAGAAAAAAUCAGCACAUGAUAGCCCAUAGGAAAGAAAACUAAAUACUACAAAGAUAAUUUUUGGCCAGGUGCAGUGGCUCACACCUAUAAUCCCAGCACUGUGGGAGGCCAAACUGGAAGGACUACUUGACCCUAGGAGUUCAAGACCAACCUGGGUAACAUAAUGAGACACCAUCUCUACAAAACAAACAAAUGAGGCCGGGCACGGUGGCUCACGCCUGUAAUCCCAGCUCCGGGAGCCCGAGGCGGGUGGAUCACAAGGUCAGGAGAUCGAGACCAUCCUGGCUAACACGGUGAAACCCCGUCUCUACUAAAAAUACAAAAAAAUUAGCCAGGUGUGGCAGCAUGUGCCUGUGGUCCCAGCUACUCGGGAGGCUGAGGCAGGAGAAUGGUGUGAACCUGGGAAGCGGAGGUUGCAGUGAGCCGAGAUUGGGCCACUGCACUCCAGCCUGGUGGCAGAGCAAGACUCCGUCUCAAAAAAAAAAAAAAAAAAAAAACAAAACCAAAAAUACAAAUGAACAAAAAUUAGUUGGGCAGGGUGGCAUGCUCCUGUAGUCCCAGCUACUUAGGAGUCAGGUGGGAGGAUUACUUGAGCCCAGAAGGCUGAGAAUGAAGUGAACCAUGAUUGCAUCAGUAGACUGCAGCCUGGAUGACAGUGAAACCCUGUCUGAAAAAAAAAAAAACAAAAAAGCAAAAAAUACUCAGGGCACACUGGCUCAUGCUUGUAAUCCCAGCACUUUGGGAGGAUGAGGUGGGAGGAUCACGUGAGGUUGGGAGUCAGAGACCAGCCUGGGCAAUACAGCCAGAC